UGGGGAAUAUUGCGCAAUGGGGGAAACCCUGACGCAGCGACGCCGUGUGAGGGAAGAAGGCCUUCGGGUCGUAAACCCCUGUCGGGAGGGAAGAACCGCCGGUUUCCGAACAGGGAGCCGGUCUGACGGUACCUCCGAAGGAAGCGCCGGCUAACUCCGUGCCAGCAGCCGCGGUAAUACGGAGGGCGCGAGCGUUAAUCGGAAUCACUGGGCGUAAAGCGCGCGUAGGUGGCUUGAUAAGUCGGGCGUGAAAGCCCUCGGCCCAACCGAGGAACUGCGUUCGAUACUGUUAGGCUUGAGUACUGGAGAGGGUGGCGGAAUUCCGGGUGUAGGAGUGAAAUCCGUAGAUAUCCGGAGGAACACCGGUGGCGAAGGCGGCCACCUGGACAGGUACUGACGCUGAGGGGCGAAAGCGUGGGGAGCAAACAG
rnacentral:rRNA from 1 species